ACUUCUUUAUCACCGAGUGCUUGCACUCACCGGUAAAUGGUUGAGUGGCGAACGGGUGAGUAACACGUGGGCAACCUGCCCAAAAGAGGGGGAUAACACUUGGAAACAGGUGCUAAUACCGCAUAACCAUAGUUACCGCAUGGUAGCUAUGUAAAAGGUGGCUAUGCUACCGCUUUUGGAUGGGCCCGCGGCGCAUUAGCUAGUUGGUGGGGUAAAGGCUUACCAAGGCAAUGAUGCGUAGCCGAACUGAGAGGUUGAUCGGCCACAUUGGGACUGAGACACGGCCCAAACUCCUACGGGAGGCAGCAGUAGGGAAUCUUCCACAAUGGGCGAAAGCCUGAUGGAGCAACGCCGCGUGGGUGAAGAAGGUCUUCGGAUCGUAAAACCCUGUUGUUAGAGAAGAAAGUGCGUGAGAGUAACUGUUCACGUUUCGACGGUAUCUAACCAGAAAGCCACGGCUAACUACGUGCCAGCAGCCGCGGUAAUACGUAGGUGGCAAGCGUUAUCCGGAUUUAUUGGGCGUAAAGGGAACGCAGGCGGUCUUUUAAGUCUGAUGUGAAAGCCUUCGGCUUAACCGGAGUAGUGCAUUGGAAACUGGGAGACUUGAGUGCAGAAGAGGAGAGUGGAACUCCAUGUGUAGCGGUGAAAUGCGUAGAUAUAUGGAAGAACACCAGUGGCGAAAGCGGCUCUCUGGUCUGUAGCUGACGCUGAGGUUCGAAAGCGUGGGUAGCAAACAGGAUUAGAUACCCUGGUAGUCCACGCCGUAAACGAUGAAU
rnacentral:rRNA from 1 species